UACAGAGGUCUCAAGCGUUGUUCGGAUUCAUUGGGCGUAAAGGGUGCGUAGGUGGCAUGGUAAGUCGGAUGUGAAAUCCCGGGGCUCAACCCCGGAACUGCAUUCGAUACUGCGUGGCUAGAGUGCUGGAGAGGAGACUGGAAUUUACGGUGUAGCAGUGAAAUGCGUAGAUAUCGUAAGGAAGACCAGUGGCGAAGGCGAGUCUCUGGACAGCAACUGACGCUGAGGCACGAAGGCCAGGGGAGCAAACAGG
rnacentral:rRNA from 1 species